CCUAAGUCAAGAUGUACAGGGAUAACCAGAGAAGAGACACCAUGUUUCUGGAGGGAUCCUGAAUCUGCUACAGCAUCUGCUUUAGGAAAAGUGUUGCCUUUGUAGCCAGUGCCUCCGAACACCUUGCCCUCAUCUGUCUGCACAGGGGUGGUUUGACUGAGACUGGAAACUGAGGCCAGCUGCUGCCGACAGGGAGCCAGCUGGAAAAGAGGGUGCUCAGAGCGAGUCUUCUCAAGGGGACUGGUGGGAGCAGCCCCCAGAUGCGGCUGAGGGGAAGGAGCCCGGAGCCGCACAGCCGCGCACCCGCGGGAGGAGACUGCUGUCGGCAUGUUGGCAGCUGCCAGGCCAGCCUCCGAGGAGAUAACUGAGAUGCAGAACUUAACAGACUCUCCCCACAACACAUAGUUAGUCCAAGACGACAGACAGUGUUAUUCACCAGAGCUAAGAUAGUGUCCAUUGAAGAAUGAAUGGAUAAGAGAAUGAGGUAUGUAUAUGCAGUGGAAUAUUAUUCAGCCAUGAAAAGAAGGAAAUCCUGCCAUUUGGGAC